rnacentral:rRNA from 1 species
UACAGGGGGGGCAAGCGUUAUUCGGAAUUAUUGGGCGUAAAGGGCGCGUAGGCGGCUUGGCAAGUGGAUGGUGAAAUCCCUCGGCUUAACCGAGGAACGGCCGUCCAAACUGCUUCGCUUGAGACCGGGAGAGGUGAGUGGAAUUCCCAGUGUAGCGGUGAAAUGCGUAGAUAUUGGGAGGAACACCAGUGGCGAAGGCGGCUCACUGGACCGGUACUGACGCUGAGGCGCGAAAGCGUGGGGAGCAAACAGG